CUUGAACCGCAUGGUUCAAGGAUGAAAGACGGUUUCUGCUGUCGCUUACAGAUGGACCCGCGGCGCAUUAGCUAGUUGGUGGGGUAAUGGCUCACCAACGCCACGAUGCUUAGCCGACCUGAGAGGGUGAUCGGCCACACUGGGACUGAUACACGGCCCAAACUCCUACGGGAGGCAGCAGUAGGGAAUCUUCCGCAAUGGACGAAAGUCUGACGGAGCAACGCCGCGUGAGUGAUGAAGGUUUUCGGAUCAUA
rnacentral:rRNA from 1 species